UCCCUGGUGGUCCAGUGGCUAAGACUCCGUGCUCCCAAAGCCGUGGCCCUGGGUUCGAUCCCUGGUCAGGGAA
rnacentral:tRNA from 1 species